GUGAGCUUAGCGUAGUGGUCUAUCGUGUGAGCUUCAGGAGUCCCACCCUCCUCCGUUUGAGAGAGAGAGUGAGAUGAACGCUCAAGGUCGAGGGUUCGACCCCCUCAGUUCACA